rnacentral:rRNA from 1 species
ACUCUGAUGCAGCGACGCCGCGUGAGCGAUGAAGCCCUUCGGGGUGUAAAGCUCUUUCGACGGGAACGAUAAUGACGGUACCCGGAGAAGAAGCUGCGGCUAACUACGUGCCAGCAGCCGCGGUAAUACGUAGGCAGCAAGCGUUGUUCGGAAUUACUGGGCGUAAAGAGUGUGUAGGCGGUGCUCUAAGUUCGGUGUGAAAUCUCCUGGCUUAACUGGGAGGGUGCGCCGGAAACUGGAGUGCUCGAGCGUGGGAGAGGAAAGCGGAAUUCCUGGUGUAGCGGUGAAAUGCGUAGAUAUCAGGAGGAGCACCUGUGGUGUAGACGGCUUUCUGGACCAUAGCUGACGCUGAGACACGAAAGCGUGGGUAGCAAACAGGAUUAGAUACCCUGGUAGUCCACGCCCUAAACGAUGCAUACUUGGUGUGAGCCAUUCAUUUGGUUCGUGCCGGAGUUAACGCG